rnacentral:rRNA from 1 species
CCCUUGACGGUAUCUAACCAGAAAGCCACGGCUAACUACGUGCCAGCAGCCGCGGUAAUACGUAGGUGGCAAGCGUUAUCCGGAAUUAUUGGGCGUAAAGCGCGCGCAGGUGGUUUCUUAAGUCUGAUGUGAAAGCCCCCGGCUCAACCGUGGAGGGUCAUUGGAAACUGGGAGACUUGAGUGCAGAAGAGGAAAGUGGAAUUCCAUGUGUAGCGGUGAAAUGCGUAGAGAUAUGGAGGAACACCAGUGGCGAAGGCGACUUUCUGGUCUGUAACUGACACUGAGGCUCGAAAGCGUGGGGAGCAAACAGGAUUAGAUACCCUGGUAGUCCACGCCGUAAACGAUGAGUGCUAAGUGUUAGAGGGUUUCCGCCCUUUAGUGCUGCAAGCUAACGCAUUAAGCACUCCGCCUGGGGAGUACGACCGCAAGGUUGAAACUCAAAGGAAUUGACGGGGGCCCGCACAAGCGGUGGAGCAUGUGGUUUAAUUCGAAGCAACGCGAAGAACCUUACCAGGUCUUGACAUCCUUUGACCACCCUAGAGAUAGGGCUUUUCCUUCGGGGACAAAGUGACAGGUGGUGCAUGGUUGUCGUCAGCUCGUGUCGUGAGAUGUUGGGUUAAGUCCCGCAACGAGCGCAACCCUUAAUGUUAGUUGCCAUCAUUUAGUUGGGCACUCUAAGGAGACUGCCGGUGACAAACCGGAGGAAGGUGGGGAUGACGUCAAAUCAUCAUGCCCCUUAUGACCUGGGCUACACACGUGCUACAAUGGGAAGUACAAAGAGUCGCAAGACCGCGAGGUCGAGCUAAUCUCAUAAAGCUUUUCUCAGUUCGGAUUGCAGGCUGCAACUCGCCUACAUGAAGCCGGAAUCGCUAGUAAUCGCGGAUCAGCACGCCGCGGUGAAUACGUUCCCGGGCCUUGUACACACCGCCCGUCACACCACGAGAGUUUGUAACACCCGAAGUCGGUGGGGUAACCUUUUUGAGCC